AGUGAACGCUGGCGGUAGGCUUAACACAUGCAAGUCGAACGGCAGCACAGGAGAGCUUGCUCUCUGGGUGGCGAGCGGCGGACGGGUGAGGAAUACAUCGGAAUCUACUCUGUCGUGGGGGAUAACGUAGGGAAACUUACGCUAAUACCGCAUACGACCUACGGGUGAAAGCAGGGGACCUUCGGGCCUUGCGCGAUUGAAUGAGCCGAUGUCGGAUUAGCUAGUUGGCGGGGUAAAGGCCCACCAAGGCGACGAUCCGUAGCUGGUCUGAGAGGAUGAUCAGCCACACUGGAACUGAGACACGGUCCAGACUCCUACGGGAGGCAGCAGUGGGGAAUAUUGGACAAUGGGCGCAAGCCUGAUCCAGCCAUACCGCGUGGGUGAAGAGGGCCUUCGGGUUGUAAAGCCCUUUUGUUGGGAAAGAAAUCCAGCUGGCUAAUACCCGGUUGGGAUGACGGUACCCAAAGAAUAAGCACCGGCUAACUUCGUGCCAGCCGCCGCCGUAA
rnacentral:rRNA from 1 species